rnacentral:rRNA from 1 species
GACGAACGCUGGCGGCGCGCCUAACACAUGCAAGUCGAACGAGCGAGAGAGAGCUUGCUUUCUCGAGCGAGUGGCGAACGGGUGAGUAACGCGUGAGGAACCUGCCUCAAAGAGGGGGACAACAGUUGGAAACGACUGCUAAUACCGCAUAAGCCCACGGCUCGGCAUCGAGCAGAGGGAAAAGGAGCAAUCCGCUUUGAGAUGGCCUCGCGUCCGAUUAGCUAGUUGGUGAGGUAACGGCCCACCAAGGCGACGAUCGGUAGCCGGACUGAGAGGUUGAACGGCCACAUUGGGACUGAGACACGGCCCAGACUCCUACGGGAGGCAGCAGUGGGGAAUAUUGCACAAUGGGGGAAACCCUGAUGCAGCGACGCCGCGUGGAGGAAGAAGGUCUUCGGAUUGUAAACUCCUGU